GAUAUUGCUCAGUUGGUUAGAGCAUGGCGCUAAUAAUGCCAAGGUUGCAGGUUUGGUCCCUGUAUGGGGCAGCA